AGAGUUUGAUCCUGGCUCAGGAUGAACGCUAGCGGCAGGCUUAACACAUGCAAGUCGAGGGGUAUAGUAGCAAUACUAGAGACCGGCGCACGGGUGCGUAACGCGUAUGCAAUCUACCUUUUACAAAGGGAUAGCCCAGAGAAAUUUGGAUUAAUACCUUAUAGUAUAUUUGAGUGGCAUCAUUUAAAUAUUAAAGAUUUAUCGGUAAGAGAUGAGCAUGCGUCCCAUUAGCUAGUUGGUAUGGUAACGGCAUACCAAGGCAACGAUGGGUAGGGGUCCUGAGAGGGAGAUCCCCCACACUGGUACUGAGACACGGACCAGACUCCUACGGGAGGCAGCAGUGGGGAAUAUUGGACAAUGGGCGAAAGCCUGAUCCAGCUAUGCCGCAUGAGUGAAGAAGGCCUUUGGGUUGUAAAGCUCUUUUAGUGAGGAAGAUAAUGACGGUACUCACAGAAGAAGUCCUGGCUAACUCCGUGCCAGCAGCCGCGGUAAUACGGAGGAUCCAAGCGUUAUCCGGAAUCAUUGGGUUUAAAGGGUCCGUAGGCGGACUAGUAAGUCAGUGGUGAAAUCUUUCAGCUUAACUGAGAAAUUGCCAUUGAUACUGCAAGUCUUGAAUAAUUAGGAAGUAACUAGAAUAUGUAGUGUAGCGGUGAAAUGCUUAGAGAUUACAUGGAAUACCAAUUGCGAAGGCAGGUUACUACUAAUUCAUUGACGCUGAUGGACGAAAGCGUGGGUAGCGAACAGGAUUAGAUACCCUGGUAGUCCACGCCGUAAACGAUGGAUACUAGCUGUUGGUAGCAAUAUCAGUGGCUAAGCGAAAGUGAUAAGUAUCCCACCUGGGGAGUACGAACGCAAGUUUGAAACUCAAAGGAAUUGACGGGGGCCCGCACAAGCGGUGGAGCAUGUGGUUUAAUUCGAUGAUACGCGAGGAACCUUACCAAGGCUUAAAUGUAGUUUGACCGUUUUGGAAACAAGACUUUCGCAAGACAAAUUACAAGGUGCUGCAUGGUUGUCGUCAGCUCGUGCCGUGAGGUGUCAGGUUAAGUCCUAUAACGAGCGCAACCCCUGUUGUUAGUUGCCAGCGAGUCAAGUCGGGAACUCUAACAAGACUGCCAGUGUAAACUGUGAGGAAGGUGGGGAUGACGUCA
rnacentral:rRNA from 1 species